rnacentral:rRNA from 1 species
GACGAACGCUGGCGGCAUGCCUAACACAUGCAAGUCGAACGAGAUCUUCGGGUCUAGUGGCGCACGGGUACGUAACGCGUGGGAAUCUGCCCUUUGGUUCGGAAUAACAGUUGGAAACGACUGCUAAUACCGGAUGAUGACGAAAGUCCAAAGAUUUAUCGCCAGAGGAUGAGCCCGCGUAGGAUUAGCUAGUUGGUGUGGUAAAGGCGCACCAAGGCGACGAUCCUUAGCUGGUCUGAGAGGAUGAUCAGCCACACUGGGACUGAGACACGGCCCAGACUCCUACGGGAGGCAGCAGUGGGGAAUAUUGGACAAUGGGCGAAAGCCUGAUCCAGCAAUGCCGCGUGAGUGAUGAAGGCCUUAGGGUUGUAAAGCUCUUUUACCCGGGAUGAUAAUGACAGUACCGGGAGAAUAAGCUCCGGCUAACUCCGUGCCAGCAGCCGCAGUAA